CGUAUAACGUAUAACGUUUAAAGUUUACGUUUGUACUUCGUAAAUUUCGCUGCGUUUUUUACGGAGCCAUAUUUACGUAAAUGUGUUCGUAGACUGUUCAGACUACACUGUCAAAUUUACGUAGAGUAGGCUAGAUUCUGCGGAGAUUCUAGCGUCUACUGUAGAUUUCUGUACCUGUUGUAGCUCUUUGUUAUAUUUAUUGAUAAAAGUUCUGAGGACGAAAUUUCUGAAAAUAGUGACGUGGAUAUGGAAGACAGUGACACUGACAGUGAUGAAACUGUAAACAAACAACGAAUUGCUCAUGAAAACGCAAUGGCUAUGUGGAGAUGGAAGGCCAAGUGUGUUUGUUUGCUCUAUUUGUUGAUGAAACGUCGUCGUUUAAAGGCUUUACAAAAUUCUUAUCGACCAGUUGGUAGGCUGUGGACUAGAUUCCACAACUCUUCAUCACAACGGGAGCAGCAUUCACUGUGUACAACUGUCCUUCUUGCAGAGAAAAGUAUGGCAGAUUGCUUUACCUUCCGAAACAUCACUCGAAUGUCUCCAUCCAUGUUCAAUAAACUGUUGAAAAUGGUUGGUCCAAAACUUGCAAAAAAAGACACAAAAAUGAGACGUUCAAUACCAGUUGGUAUAGACUACAUUGUUUUACUAUCUUACUAUUGUUAAUUUCCAUGUAAAAUUUUGAUGAAAUUGAAUGAAUUGAAAUAGAAUAAGCAAUAAACCAAAAUAGUUGCAAAAGA
rnacentral:lncRNA from 1 species